AACGAACGUUAGCGGCGCGCUUAACACACGCAAGUCGUGCGAGAAAGGGAGCAAUCCCCGGUAAAGCGGCGCACGGGUGAGUAACACGUAGGUAACGUGCCCCCAGGUGGUGGAUAACCUUCCGAAAGGAGGGCUAAUACAGCAUAAGACCACGGCUUCGAAAGGAGCUGAGGUCAAAGUCGGCCUCUAUUCAUAAGCUGACGCCAGGGGAUCGGCCUGCGGCCCAUCAGGUAGUUGGUAGGGUAAUGGCCUACCAAGCCUAAGACGGGUAGCUGGUCUGAGAGGAUGAUCAGCCACACUGGAACUGAGACACGGUCCAGACUCCUACGGGAGGCAGCAGUGGGGAAUCUUGCGCAAUGGGCGAAAGCCUGACGCAGCGACGCCGCGUGAGUGAUGAAGGCCCUCGGGUCGUAAAGCUCUGUGGAGAGGGACGAAAACCCUGGUUUCAAAUAGGCUCCAGGCUUGACGGUACCUCUUUAGCAAGCACCGGCUAACUCUGUGCCAG
rnacentral:rRNA from 1 species